AUCUCGUUGAAGUGCACGGAAUCAUUGUACUUAUAACCGCUGAAACCAUUUGUGGAGAAGGAAGUUUCAACCACUUUGGAAGUUGUGCAUAUUGCCCAGCGGGUUCAUAUCAGGUUGGAGAUAGAUGUCAGUGGUGUACACCAGGUUAUUACCAAAAAUAUGUUGGUCAGACAAAAUGUAUACUUUGUCCUCAGGGACAUAUUUCACCUGUCGGAAGCAAUGCAAUCCAACAAUGUUAUGUUCCUGGUGCUGAAAGCAACGAGGAAGAAGACGGUCUCUCAGCGGAAGUCAUUGUUGCUAUCGUUUCUGCAGUCAUCGCAUUCCUAGGUUUCGGAAUAGCAGUGUUAGAGUAUUGCAGAAGAAAGAGUUAAAAGAAAUCUGGCACAAACUAAACAAACAUAAAUCCCAUUGUUUUAGCAGAUAUGAGCAAGGAAUGUAAAGGGUUUCUAUAUUGUGGAGAUUGAACUUUUCCGAGAAUAAAACGCGUUCAAACGCGUGAUUAUUUUAUAUUCAUUGACGAUAUUUUCAUGGGAUGGGACACAAUCAUAGAGUACAGUACCUUUUUUAAUACUUAAUGCGUACAAACUCAUACAGACACAGUCAUUUAAUUAUGAAAUACUCAGAAAAUCAAAAGUUUUAUAGCAAAGCUUAUGAUUUGAUAAUAAUAAAUGUGUAAUUAAUUCAAUUAUAUCAAUAAUAUGUCAACGCAUUGAAUAUGUAUGCAUGCCUGAAAAAAUUGUCAAAUGAAUAGAAAAAAAGAGUUCUGUUGUAAAUAAAUUAAUAUGAUGUUCCCGAGUUUGGUGUAAAAUGUGGGUUGUGGUCAGAGCAUACUUGUAUUUUUUUCUUUACAGUACACCUGUACAUUGUGAUUAACGUUUGCAUCCAUGAUUCAUAUAUUAGAUAUAGCAUUAACAUUUUUUA